GGGUUGUGAGGUUAAGCGACUAAGCGUACACGGUGGAUGCCCUGGCAGUCAGAGGCGAUGAAGGACGUGCUAAUCUGCGAUAAGCGUCGGUAAGGUGAUAUGAACCGUUAUAACCGGCGAUUUCCGAAUGGGGAAACCCAGUGUGUUUCGACACACUAUCAUUAACUGAAUCCAUAGGUUAAUGAGGCGAACCGGGGGAACUGAAACAUCUAAGUACCCCGAGGAAAAGAAAUCAACCGAGAUUCCCCCAGUAGCGGCGAGCGAACGGGGAGGAGCCCAGAGCCUGAAUCAGUGUGUGUGUUAGUGGAAGCGUCUGGAAAGGCGCGCGAUACAGGGUGACAGCCCCGUACACAAAAAUACACAUAUUGUGAGCUCGAUGAGUAGGGCGGGACACGUGGUAUCCUGUCUGAAUAUGGGGGGACCAUCCUCCAAGGCUAAAUACUCCUGACUGACCGAUAGUGAACCAGUACCGUGAGGGAAAGGCGAAAAGAACCCCGGCGAGGGGAGUGAAAAAGAACCUGAAACCGUGUACGUACAAGCAGUGGGAGCACGCUUAGGCGUGUGACUGCGUACCUUUUGUAUAAUGGGUCAGCGACUUAUAUUCUGUAGCAAGGUUAACCGAAUAGGGGAGCCGAAGGGAAACCGAGUCUUAACUGGGCGUUAAGUUGCAGGGUAUAGACCCGAAACCCGGUGAUCUAGCCAUGGGCAGGUUGAAGGUUGGGUAACACUAACUGGAGGACCGAACCGACUAAUGUUGAAAAAUUAGCGGAUGACUUGUGGCUGGGGGUGAAAGGCCAAUCAAACCGGGAGAUAGCUGGUUCUCCCCGAAAGCUAUUUAGGUAGCGCCUCGUGAAUUCAUCUCCGGGGGUAGAGCACUGUUUCGGCA
rnacentral:rRNA from 1 species